ACCCUUUAACUCAGUUGGUCAGAGCGAGUGACUCAUAAUCGCCUGGUCGCUGGUUCAAGUCCCGCAAAAGGUACCA
rnacentral:tRNA from 1 species